rnacentral:snRNA from 1 species
GGAUGUGAGGGCAAUCUGGCUGCGACAUCUGUCAACACUGACACUAGGGUUGAUUCGGCUGAUCUGGUUGGCUAGGCGGGUGUCCCUUCCUCCCUCACUGCUCCCUGAGCAUCCCUCCCAAAGCUGCACAACCAACCUGGACGGAGGAGAACCAUUUCCUUGGUCAGUGUAUAUGAGAAGCUGCGCUCCCCUGCUAGAACCUCCAAACAAGCUCUCAAAACCUCAAAACUACUAACACAGUAAAACUUAAGCACCAAGAAAACAGAAUUUAAGUACUUUUGGAAAAAUGUGGUAGCCA